CCAAUCUCAGCUUUUCAUUGCAGAUCAUCCAACAGUCCUAGAACUAUCUCCUUUGUCACAUAUUAAUGUCUGAAAAUACAAAGACCAUCCAGUUCCCAUUCUCUCAUCUCCCUCAUCUCUCUCACGGCUCAACCCUAAUGGAAGCCUAGGUUCCACCAUUUUUGAAGGAAGAAAGCUCGAAAUCACUCCAAAACUCUCACCAUCUACUCCCUAUACCCCUUCAAAUGAUAAUCUGGUGCCAAUUCCCCAGAAAAUUCCCAAUCUUCACUUCAAGUCUGGAUUUGAAAAUCAGAAAAAUAAUAAAGUUUUAAGACUCGACUUGACUCAGAAGUGUCGUUAAGAGAUUGUUCUUGCAUAUAAUAAUCGAUUAACAAUAAUUUUUGCUCGUGUCGAGAUUUUUUCAUCCCAGACCGGACCAAAAGCAUUUGGCCAAGUUAAUCUUCUUCAUCGAUCUAUGUCAGAUUGCAUCAGUAUUUUCCUUUCUUUCCAUCUUCUCUUCUUGUCCUUUACUUAUUUUCUUUUUCUGGUUUUCCUAUUUUUUUUGUGAUUCAAAUCAAUUUAGUUUAAUUAAAAUUAGUGGUUUUUGCUUGUGAAAAUUGUGUAAUUAGGAUUAGGUCCUUAUAGGAAUUUGUUCUCGCCUGAUUUUGGAUUUCUGCUAGUUAAAAUUAGAUUUUUAAUUAUUUUUGGGCUUUGGUAAGAUUUUGCUUGAUUUGAUAUUGGGUUAAUUGGUGGUUAGAUUUAGGGCUUAUGGUAGGUUGGAUUUGGGGUCAUUAAGAGCUCGUCUCUGUUUGGAGCCCAAAGGUUUUGGGUUAAGAUUGAUCUAUUUGUUUGCAAAGGGUAAAAACAGGGACAUUUGGGGGUAGUUUAGGAAAUGGGUGGAGGGGAAUCUUUUGGUAACUGGUUGAGAAGCUUCUAGGAAGAUGGGUGGUGGGUUCAAAUUGAUUUUUAACUAAGGAUUUCUAAGCAAAAAAAAAAUUUUAAAAAUGGAUAAAAUGCAAAACUGAAAUCUGCUAUUUGCCCUACUUCCUUUGCCGAUAAAUGCACCUUUUCUUGCCUUUCAAGAUAGGAAUUAAGAGAUAAAAUUCAGAAAAGUCUUAAAAGGCUGAAAAAUUGAAAGAAUACUAUUUCAUUAAGAUUUCAUCUUAAAGUUUUGAAAUUUCUUAUUUUUUCUGAAUGAUUCUUGAUUUCAUUUGAGGUUAAAAAAUUGUUUGAACUUGGAUGAAAAGAUUUGGUUUAAGCUGGUUAAUAGAUUUUCUUUUAUCUGGAUUGAUAUUAUUUCUGCUUUGGUUGAUCUAGGUAGAUUUCUUUCACUGUUGAUUGUUGAUCUGCUGCUAUUUAUUGUUGCUUCAUUUCUAGCUUCUUUUUUCCAUUUUGAGGUAGUCGUUCUUGAAUCCUACCUCCUAUGAAGAAUGGUUGAAGUAUGAAAUGAAAUUGAAAGUUCAAACACAAACUCGAGUUGCUCUGUCUAGUAACUUAGUGUCUUCCUAUUUGCAGGGUUUUGGUUUUAUGUAUUAUAGUCUGUUGGAUGCGAAUUGUUAGUAACAUUGAAAGUUUUUUGGGACUAAAUCUAAGCUUGGAUUUUCGAGAUUGCUUGCUAGGUAGAUGUUGAUAUUAUUAGAUGGUGUGUAUAGACUGAUAUGGAUAAAACAAAUGAGACUUGGAUCUUUGAUUACGGUUUUGUUAAGCUUCUUUUGAGUUUUGUAUACAACCUAUUUAGUCUAGUGUUGAUUCCCAGUUAAGUUCACUGAUCAGUCAUACAAUUGAAACAGAUGUCACAAAUGGCAUGGGGAAAAAUGCUUUGUUCCUGAAAUCAUUGCUUGAAUUUAGUUGAACAUGGUUACCUGAUGAUUAACAGUUCUUUUGUUUUUUAGUUAUCAAAUGAUGAUCUGUUCAUUUCGUAUUUGAAGCGUGCUAAAUCUAGAUGUUAAAUAGUGAUUUAUGGGUAGGAUUAUUUGUUCAUUUCUUAUUGAAGCAUUUUAAUGCUAGAAAUUAAGUAGUGAUUUGUGAGUGCCACUGUACGGACUCGAAUUUGGGUCCUGGCAUUGUGAAUGGGCCUACGUCCUCUGAUUGAGUUUUCUUGCCCAGUCUAAGUCAUUAAAAGUUAGCCAUCUUUGGUAUGGUCUGCUAGGCAUCACGUUGAGCCCAAACGUUACAGCAGCUGCUAUGUUUAUUCUUAAUUGGUUCUCAUUUUCUGUUGGUACAAGGAUUCGAUAUGCGCAUCUUUGAGUAUUCAAUUUGUGCAUGCCUUAUUUGAAUUGGGCUUGUGGUUUGGGGUUCGAGAGAAACUUUGUCAUGAAGUUUAUAAUCUAUCCUCCCAAUGAUGUCUUGGGCCACCAGGUCUCACGUUAGGCCAAGCCCAAAUUCUAAAAAAAAAAUACAUUUC
rnacentral:lncRNA from 1 species